rnacentral:rRNA from 1 species
CUACGGGUCGCACCAGUGGGGAAUAUUGGACAAUGGGGGAAACCCUGAUCCAGCAAUGCCGCGUGUGUGAAGAAGGCCUGCGGGUUGUAAAGCACUUUCGGUUGGGAGGACUGCUUCUAGCACUAAUAUUGUUGGAAGUUGACGUUACCUUCAGAAGAAGCACCGGCUAACUCCGUGCCAGCAGCCGCGGUAAUACGGAGGGUGCAGCGUUAAUCGGAAUUACUGGGCGUAAAGCGCGCGUAGGCGGCUAGAUCAGUCGGGUGUGAAAGCCCCGGGCUUAACCUGGGAACUGCAUCCGAUACUGUCUAGCUUGAGUACAGGAGAGGAGAGUGGAAUUCCACAUGUAGCGGUGAAAUGCGUAGAUGUGUGGAGGAACACCAAUGGCGAAGGCAGCUCUCUGGCCUGAUACUGACGCUGAGGUGCGAAAGCGUGGGGAGCAAACAGGAUUAGAUACCCCAGUAGUC